UGUUUUGCCUCUGUUUUUGAAAACCUGUCUGCCCCUUUUGGAUUUGUCUGCCUGCCUGGGUCCUGCCUGUCAGCCUCAGAGAACUGGACUGCCUCACCGUGUUUCUGACCCUAGCCUGUCCGUGAGUAAAAACGAGUUCGCCUGUCCCCUGUCCGUCUGUGCCUUCUGGAUUGUGACCUGGACCUGGACCUGGACGGUCUGUUGGAUUCUCCCUUGGAAACCGCUGCCUGAGUUAAACGGAUUUCCCCCUGACAAAGACCCGGACCGGACCUGGACAAAGAGCCCUGGAUAACCCCCUCUCGGACGCCUUCAACAUAAGGAGUCAGAGCUCUACCCUCAGCACGUCCAGGAGCGGCCAGUCGCAGAGUGCGAGCCGAGCCAGGGGACCGCGCCGCCAGCGUCAAAAUAAAGACUGUUAAUAUUUUGUA